AACGAACGCUGGCGGCAGGCUUAACACAUGCAAGUCGAACGCGAAAUCACCUUCGGGUGGUGGAGAGUGGCAGACGGGUGAGUAACGCGUGGGAACCUACCUAGUGGUACGGAAUAACUCAGGGAAACUUGGGCUAAUACCGUAUGUGCCCGAAAGGGGAAAGAUUCAUCGCCACUAGAUGGGCCCGCGUCGGAUUAGCUUGUUGGUGAGGUAACGGCUCACCAAGGCGACGAUCCGUAGCUGGUCUGAGGGAAUGAUCAGCCACACUGGGACUGAGACACGGCCCAGACUCCUACGGGAGGCAGCAGUGGGGAAUAUUGGACAAUGGGCGCAAGCCUGAUCCAGCCAUGCCGCGUGAGUGAUGAAGGCCCUAGGGUUGUAAAGCUCUUUCGGCGGGGACGAUAAUGACGGUACCCGCAGAAGAAGCCCCGGCUAACUUCGUGCCAGCCGCCGCAGUAA
rnacentral:rRNA from 1 species